UACGUAGGUGGCAAGCGUUGUCCGGAAUUACUGGGCGUAAAGUGUGCGCAGGCGGCUUCGCAAGUCGAGUGUGAAAUCCCCGAGCUUAACUUGGGAAUUGCGCUCGAAACUACGGAGCUGGAGUGUGGCAGAGGAAGGUGGAAUUCCACGUGUAGCGGUGAAAUGCGUAGAGAUGUGGAGGAACACCGAUGGCGAAGGCAGCCUUCUGGGCCAACACUGACGCUCAUGCACGAAAGCGUGGGGAGCAAACAGG
rnacentral:rRNA from 1 species